GACGAACGCUGGCGGCGUGCCUAACACAUGCAAGUCGAACGAAGCUCUGCGAUACAAGACUUCGGUCAAGUUGAACGGAUGACUUAGUGGCGGACGGGUGAGUAACGCGUGAGGAACCUGCCUUUCAGUGGGGGACAACAGUUGGAAACGACUGCUAAUACCGCAUAAGACCACGGGAUCACAUGGUUCUGGGGUAAAAGAUUUAUCGGUUUGGGGUGGGCUCGCGUCCGAUUAGGUAGUUGGUGAGGUAACGGCCCACCAAGCCGACGAUCGGUAGCCGACCUGAGAGGGUGAUCGGCCACAUUGGGACUGAGACACGGCCCAAACUCCUACGGGAGGCAGCAGUGGGGAAUAUUGCACAAUGGGGGAAACCCUGAUGCAGCAACGCCGCGUGAAGGAAGACGGUUUUCGGAUUGUAAACUUCUAUCAAUAGGGACGAAGAAAGUGACGGUACCUAAAUAAGAAGCCCCGGCUAACUACGUG
rnacentral:rRNA from 1 species